AUGAAGUCCCAGAGGCUCUUGAGAAGCAAAAGCCUUGUCUGGCAUCGGUCCCACACGCACAGGGAGGUGAACCAAGCCCCCAGCAGCCUGUGCCCUUCUCUGCCCCUAGAGACCCAGACCCGGGCCAGCGUGGCCCUCCACGGAGGGGAUGGUGCUAUCAGCGUGGACGCGGCAGCCCUGGUGUCCUGGCCGGCGAACGGCUCCCUGGAGCUGCUUGUGAACGCCAGCCACGUGGCUCCCAGUCUCCGGAGGCUGGGCCUGCCCUCGACCACCCAGCUCGUGUUCCAGAAGCUCUGGGCAGAGGAACAGAUGCUGUCUUCCCUACGGCUGACCUGCGAUUCUCAAGCCAGCCUGGUCCUCGACGUGCGUGGCCAGAGCCAGGAGUUCCGGAAAGAGCUGCAGCUGUCCGGCCGGCACAGCCUCCCCGCCCUCCUGGGCCGCUGCCCCCGCAGAGCCUCAGUCUCAGCCAAGCUACAGUACUUGGAGCGUGAGGCCGAGAGCACGGUUUUCUUCGAGGGGGAGGACCAUCAUUUCCAUGUGGGCACCAGGCUGCUGACGACAAAGGCCAGUGUUACCAACAUCAUCAGGCUGGAGCAGACCUUCCCCCAGCUCAGAGCCCUUCCCAGGCAGCUGGUCCUGCAGACCUUGUACGAGACAGCCCGUGGGACCCACAUCCUGCACCAGACAGUUCUGUGGGAUGACCAGGAGGCGGAGCUCAACGGGAGCCUCUUGGGGCCCUUCCCCAGGCCCACUGGGAACCUCAGCAUCCAGGAGCUCACCCACCCGCUGCCUCUGUCUCUGUCCCCACCACGGCGUGGCAGCCUCCGUCUGUCCUGCGAGCACUCACGACACAGACACCAGGACGACCUGCUCGUGGGCUGGGGUGGCAAGGACCAGGUGCUGGCCUCGUCCUCUCUGCAGCUGGGGAAGGGCAAGCUGGCCGGCCGCCUGGCCCUGGCUCACCCCUUCAGCCUCUCCUUGUGGCGCAUCGAGGCCAGUGGCCUCGCUGAGGGCAGGGGUGGCCGGCGGAGCGCAGAGGUCCAGCUGGCCUGGGACAGAGGGCAGCCCGUGACCUUGCACCUCGCUUGGACCAACAGGUCCUCAGCGUUCAGUACCAUCUGGGAUGGCUGCCUGGCCGCCUCCCCGGGGCAGGUAUGCACUGGCUGGACUGCCAAGCCACGCACGGGGCUCUCCCUAACGCGGGGUCUCUGUGUGGACUCCCCCCAAGUCCCACACUCCAUCCUCUUGUCAGCUCCAGGAAAUUUGGGGUCUAAGUGCCCUCAGGGCCUGUGGGGCCUUAACACAGACCCCAGCCGUGUUCAGCGAGCAGCUCGAUCUGGCCUGGGACCGACGCCUGGUGCAGCAGAACCUGACGUAUGAGAGGCACUGGCCGUCCCAGCCAGACCGGCUCCAUGCACAGGCCGUGCUCGAGCAAGUCUUCACCUUCCCCGGCUCCUGCGCCACACACAGCCUCCAGGGACAGGUGGAGACCGACUACGCCCACUGGUUGCGCCACUCCCUGCACCUGGGGCUCUGCGACCUGCCCAGG
ensembl:lincRNA